GCCGCCUUAGCUCAGUGGUAGAGCAGCUGCCUUGUAAGCAGUUGGUCAGGGGUUCGAAUCCUCUAGGCGGCA
rnacentral:tRNA from 1 species